GUACCAACGGUCAAAGACAGUCCUUCCAGCUGUCCCUAGUCAGCAACAAAAUUUCUAAAGCAGCGAGAGAUUGCCUAAUUCAACCUGAAGGUGAGAGAUUUCUCCCAAACACAAGUUUUCUGCAUUAUCUACAAGAUGGCAACUAAAUAAUUCAAAACUUAACCAGAUCUAGGUCACUGGCAGAGGUUUGUUUUUCAGCAAGAUGUCCCAGAGAGAUUGGCUACUUUUUCUUAAUUUGUUGCUGAAUUCCAACAUCAUACUUAAGGAUACCCAAUAGCAGAUGGAGUGGGCGAGAUGAGAAGUACGAAGGAUACUGACAAAGGCCAACUUCAGCUCAUCAGUGCUGGGCUCUGUCUUACUCUCGCAGAAGAUAUAAACUUCAGGUGCAGAGAAAUCUUGUCUGUGACCGCUGAAGGUCUACAGAAUAAUUGUGAGAGAUGUGCAAGAAGUCUCAGGCGCUGAACUGGAUGAGAUAUUUUUGUGAUUUUGUUAGGUGAAGACUGAACAGCAGCCCUUGUCCACAGGAGUCUUUCCAUCUCUCUGACCAUGUGAUUAAUUUGAGCAUCCCAUUUCCUUCAGUUCCUAAGUAACUGGUUUUCUUAGGAGGUCAGCUCAAAUGGAUUGAUGUGGCUAUGCUGUCCAAAUCUGAAGAACACAAAAUACGGAUUCUUACGGAGUAGGAACCAACUUCCUAUAUCUUAU